rnacentral:tRNA from 1 species
GGGGAUGUAGCUCAGUUGGUAGAGCGAUUGAAAUUGCUUUCAGUAGGCUUGGGGUUUGACUCCUCACAUCUCCA